GUCGAACGAACCCUUCGGGGUUAGUGGCGCACGGGUGCGUAACGCGUGGGAACCUGCCUUUAGGUUCGGAAUAACUCAGAGAAAUUUGAGCUAAUACCGGAUAAUGUCUUCGGACCAAAGAUUUAUCGCCUUUAGAUGGGCCCGCGUUAGAUUAGAUAGUUGGUGGGGUAAUGGCCUACCAAGUCGACGAUCUAUAGCUGGUCUGAGAGGAUGAUCAGCCACACUGGGACUGAGACACGGCCCAGACUCCUACGGGAGGCAGCAGUGGGGAAUAUUGGACAAUGGGCGAAAGCCUGAUCCAGCAAUGCCGCGUGAGUGAUGAAGGCCUUAGGGUUGUAAAGCUCUUUUACCAGGGAUGAUAAUGACAGUACCUGGAGAAUAAGCUCCGGCUAACUCCGUG
rnacentral:rRNA from 1 species